ensembl:lncRNA
GGCUCCAGAGGUCCAACAAAUAUGAAGACCUUCAAAAAUUCUUUGGCCUCCUUUAGGGCCUGAUGGAUCAACGCCAUCAGAAACAUCACCAUCCAGGAGGUCGAAGAAACAUCACCAUCAGAAACAUCACCAUUAGAAACAUCACCAUCAGAAACAUCACCAUUAGAAACAUCACCAUCAGAAACAUCACCAUCAGAAACAUCACUAUCAGAAACAUCACCAUCCAGGAGGUCGAAGAAACAUCACCAUCCAGAAACAUCACCAUCAGAAACAUCACCAUCAGAAACAUCACCAUAGAAACAUCACCAUCAGAAACAUCACCAUUAGAAACAUCACCAUUAGAAACAUCACCAUCAGAAACAUCACCAUCAGAAACAUCACCAUUAGAAACAUCACCAUCCAGAAACAUCACCAUCAGAAACAUCACCAUCCAGGAGGUCGAAGAAACAUCACCAUCCAGAAACAUCACCAUCAGAAACAUCACCAUCAGAAACAUCACUAUCAGAAACAUCACCAUCCAGGGGG